rnacentral:lncRNA from 1 species
AUGUACGUUUUUUUAUUAUGUUCAUAAUAAAAUUGACCUAAAGAAGAUAAAUUACAAGUUUAAUUAUUUUAUUUUUUAUUUUUUAUUAUUUCUUUUUAUUUUUUGCUCAAAUUUGUUAAUAUAUUAAUUUGAAUAUGGUCGUAAAAAAAUAUUUUAUGAAAUAAUGUUAUUAAAAUUAAAUAAGGCAUGUUUUAUAAAAAAUUGUGUUAACUGCCUUGUGUUAUGUUCCAAAGAAUGUAAUCCCAAAUAUAGAUUAAGUACUUUUUGUUUAAAAAAAAAAUUAAAUAAAAAUAAUGUAGUGAAUAGUGGGAAAAAAGAAAUUAGGACUGGGUCAAAUAAUUUAUUAGAAAAAAUUAAAAAAAGUGAUUUGAAAUUGUUACAAAAAUUACAGCAAGAAGAAGGGAAUUACGAAAAAAAUGAGAUAAGACAUAUAGAAAGUAAAAAUAUGGAAAAAAUAAAAGAAGAUGUUGGAUAUAAAAGUAUAAACAAUAAUAUAAAAAUGGAUCAAAUAAAUACUACAAAUGUUAUCAAUCACAACCAUAACAACGAUAAAAACGAUAACAAUAGUAAUAUAACCUAUAUGAACAAACAUGACGGAAAUGAAGAAAAUGGUAAGGAGGCUGAAAAGUGUGAAGGGACUGAAAAUUGUGAAGGGACUGAAAAUUGUGAUGAAGUUAAUGAUAAUAUACCACCAAAAUAUCGAUUUAUAUUUGAACGUCCUAAAAAUAUUUCACAUAUCAACGAUAAACCUAUAUUAAGAAGACCAGGGUGUAUAAUAGAAAUAAAAACAUUAAUGCAAAAUAAUUGGUCGUUUCCUGCUGUUGGUUUUAAUGCUAAAUUAGAAAUUCCAAUUUAUAAAUUUGAAAGUGAUGAAUAUGAUAGUAAUAUAAAAUAUAUGAAUGUACCCAAUGAUAUUUUUGGAUUACCUAUUAGAUCAGAUAUUUUACACAAAUGUUAUUAUUUUUAUAGAACUGCUUUAGCUGGUUAUACAGAAAGAAUGCAAUUAUACAAAUGGGAAUGGCCAGGUAGUACUAAAAAAUAUAGGAGUCAAAAAAAAAGUGGUAAAGCAAGAAUGAAUUGGAGAAAAACGUGUGGUAGGUAUUUAGGAGUUAAGAAUCAUCCUAUAAGACC